rnacentral:lncRNA from 1 species
GCCAAUUGAUUCAUAUACCUCAUAACUCAGCCAUGCAUCCCUAAGUGAUUCCUGUGUUUUUCAAUACCCUGUUGGGGGGGGGGGAAUUUAUUAUUAUUAUUAUUAUUUUAAAUUGCAAAUUUUAAAUUCUUUUUGAGAGUAAUUUUAGGUUAAGAAACAUGCUACCUCUUCAAAUCCAGAAAAUGAACUCUUCUUAGGAGGUACCAUGAAGAUGCCUCCACAGACCACAAGCUACAUCAAGAAGAUCCAGAAUGUGAAGGCCUCCAUCUCCCUGUGCCUCAUUCUGAAGUUGCCCCUUGGAUUUUCCCAGGAAUGGGGUCAGCCCUGCUUGCUUUUCCUCAUUUGCAGACCACAAUGA